rnacentral:misc_RNA from 1 species
UGUAGGAGUGAGCCUGCUCGCGAUAGCGGUUUUUCAGUUGAUAUCAAUGUUGACUGACACACCGCUAUCGCGAGCAGGCUCACUCCUACA